AACUGAAGCAUCAAUGAACCAUGCAGUGUAGCAUUUUCUAAAAACCUUAUAGAAGUUUGUCACUUUUUUGUCGGACUAUUCUACUAGGUCUACUACCUUACCACUGAACAAGGAUCAAGGUGGAAAUAUAUUAAACCUGUGAGAAACAACUUCUCAAUGGAUACCUCAACAUGUUACAAAGAUUUAGUUCCUGACACAGCAGAAAUUAUGUACGUGAUGCAUGAGCUAAAAGAGAAGAAAUGUACGGACAGCACCCUUCUUUCCAACCUGGACUUUGCUGAAUGUUUCCUGAGAGAACAUCCUCUACAUAGAUUUUCAAUGUUAUUGGUUAAGGGCAAUGGUUUAUGUGUUGAAAUUGGCAACAGCCAAUCCAUAGUUUUCACGGUGAGUUCAGACAGUCAACACAACACCUAUGUCAACCUCAAUAUCUACUCCUAUAACAAAGUAUGCAGGGAGACCAUUGUGGAAAGUCACUUUUUUGGCCACUCUUGCCAGGAUGAGAUCCAAUCCUGCUUUAUCCAAGCUAGAGAAGCAGUUCCUGAAAGUGGUUUGAAUAGACUAACAAUCAAAUGUAACAGGUUUACAAUUAUUUAUACCAAUAACAAAAUAAGUCAACAUAAGACUUUGGAAACCAAGUGUCAGUUUAAGCUUCAGACCAUCACUGUUGAAGGUUUGCUGGAGAGGAAAAUCUGGCUGCAGAAAGAGAAGGCCACUAGUCAUGGUUUGAUAGCAUGUGUAGAUCAUCUCAUCAAGCUAUACCUCACUACUUCUGAUGCUCCAAAGACCGAAUGUAGAUUCAUUCUACACGCAGACAAAGAAGUAAUCAGAAUUGUUUCUUUGGGCAAUCUACAAAACCGAGAGUAUGUAUUGCUAUAUGAUGACGCAGGGGUCUCAAUGUUUCCUCCAACAUGGCAGUAGAAGCUAUAACAGAGCUCACGAAUGUAAAUACUGUAUCUUCUAAUAUGGUAAAUAGUCUUAUGCACUAUAUUGUAUUGCCAAGAGUGUUUUUUUUUAGCACAACACACAAAUAAAACCAGUUUAAUCUUAGCAACACAAAAACAUUUGAAAUUCAUCAAAAUUGCUUGUUUUAAAAAUAAUUAACUUGUCCACAAAUCUGACCAAAUGUGGUCAUGAGACUAAACUCAAAGUUAUUCUAAUUAUAGAUUAAUUACAUUGUGCAUUAUGUGUGUCAUUACUGUAUUUCUGCUUUCUGCUCCUUUCUGCUUACCUAAAAAUAGUAUUAAGAUAAAACGGGUCACUAAAAGGAUAAAUGCAAAAAAUAUUAUCAGUCUUAUUCAUUUGUUGUGUGUUUUCUGUGGCAUUUGCGGUGUUACUGUUUCUUAUAUGUCUAAGUGUAAAACGCACCCACAGAGAGGACAGAACCAUAAUAAUCAGAAACAGUAUUCUGUUCUGUUUUCGAAAAUAAUUAUAGUGUUUCAUAUUUUCUCAUGUAUUUUAAGCAAUGUAUAAAUAUACAGAAAAUAAUAGCAUUCUGCACCACUGAACAUUAUAUUUAUAUUUCACUGUUAAUUGUUAAUGAUGGGGCAAAGUAUAAAUACAAUGUAGGCUACUGUACUGUAUAAUAGCAUUACUGUAAUCAAGAACACAAUAAAACCUACAAAAAUACG